rnacentral:lncRNA from 1 species
GAGCGCACGCCUGUUCUUCUUCCUGUUGUUGUCUCACCGCAGCAAGGAGCAGUCAGCAUCGAGAGAGCAACAAUGGCGAUGGCGUCGUCGAGCGGGCUGAGGAGCUGCAGCGCCGUGGGCGUACCGAGCCUGCUUGCGCCUUCAUCCCGGUCCGGCCGCUCCGGGCUGCCGUUCUGCGCCUACGCCACCACCUCCGGCCGCGUCACCAUGUCCGCCGAGUGGUUCCCCGGCCAGCCCCGCCCCGCCCACCUCGACGGCUCCUCGCCAGGGUGACUAAGCAACAAAGCUAGCUAGCUACUAGUAGCCGAUCGAGCAGUGACCAAUCGACUCGACAUCAAUCAAUCUGACCGGCGACUUAUAUUCUCCCCGCAGGGACUUCGGGUUCGACCCCCUGGGCCUCGCCACCGUGCCGGAGAACUUCGAGCGGUUCAAGGAGUCCGAGAUCUACCACUGCCGCUGGGCCAUGCUCUGCGUGGUACGUCCUCCUCCUCCUCUGCACCACAGCAGCCUUUGUUGAGUUGUUCGCUAGUAGCAAUAACAUGGGUUGCGCCGUACGUGGCAUGGACGACGUGCAGCCUGGGGUACUGGUGCCGGAGGCGCUGGGGCUGGGCAACUGGGUGAAGGCGCAGGAGUGGGCGGCGCUCCCCGACGGGCAGGCGACGUACCUGGGCAACCCGGUGCCCUGGGGCAACCUGCCGACCAUCCUGGCGAUCGAGUUCCUGGCCAUCGCCUUCGCGGAGCAGCAGCGCACCAUGGAGAAGGACCCGGAGAAGAAGAAGUACCCCGGCGGCGCCUUCGACCCGCUCGGCUUCUCCAAGGACCCCGCAAAGUUCGAGGAGCUCAAGCUCAAGGAGAUCAAGAACGGUACGUCCCAGUCCCACCAUAUACCCCGUUGUUGAAUGAAAAAUCAUGGGAGAACGAACUGACGCGUUCGUCCGUGGGGGAAUGCAUUGCAGGGCGGCUGGCGAUGCUGGCGUUCGUGGGGUUCUGCGUGCAGCAGUCGGCGUACCCCGGCACCGGCCCGCUGGAGAACCUGGCCACGCACCUCGCGGACCCGUGGCACAACAACAUCGGCGACAUCGUCAUCCCCAGAAAUAUCUACGGCCCUUGAGCGGAGCCGACCGGGCUGAGGGGAGAUCGAGGAGCCGGAGCACAUGGUUUUCAUUCAUGUUUCUGCGUCGAUCGACUGGUUGAUCAACUUGCCACGCUGGCUCUGCGCGCGUACGUCCGUGCGUGCAGGAACUGUACAACAACGUCAGCUCUCCGGCCGGCAACCUUUGUAAUGUGUAAAGCUUAAGUAGUAGCCGCUGUUGUGAAUGCACCCGUAUGAUCUGUAUAAACUCUUGCAUGAUGAUGGUCUUUUUCUUGAGGAUCAACGCUGCUGCAUUUUUAUUUAACCAGCGAAGCUGGAAAUGUCAUCAGUGAUUACAGAAAGAACAAAGUCAGGGGAGACCCCAAACCACACCUUACAUAA